rnacentral:misc_RNA from 1 species
UACGAACUAGCGUGUAACUAUCUAGAGACUUUUUUAUUUUAGUUCUCCUAAGUUACGUGCCUUUCGCUGGCGCUUCGGUGCGGUAAACGCUCUGACGCGUGUUGUGUGUCUGCCACAUGCAGAUGCAUUAGUCAAUAUUUAUUAUCACAGUUGCGUUUAAGUGCAUUUAUUGAUAAAAUCUUAAUAUCUCUAAUCAAAGAUAUAAGUUAUAAUUAAUUUAAACAUGGAUUCCGAUAUCGAAUUAGGAGAAGACGAGGAGGAUUUUCUUGUUUACGUCGAAUUGGAAGGAUUUGUUAAUAAUAAUAUAUUUUCAAAUGAAGAACUGCAAUUAGAUAUGAUUGGUAUAGAUACAGACCAUCCUAUAAUGCAAAUUGGUGGAAAGUUUUAUGAGGGUACUUAUGAGGAUGCUGUAGGAACUUACAUGUUUUUUGAUAAAGAUGACCAGCCAGUGAUCAAUGAUCCCGUAUUUGAUCAAGUUCCAACUUUAAAAUAUUUUGGAAAGACUAGAAAGGUAUUAAAAAUGGAGAGAAUAUUUGUUAAGCAAAGGGUAGAAGUUCUCGGUGACUCUGAGCAUAGUAAAUGCAUUCCAAACAUUGAUAUAAUUAAAGAAGCUGGCGUUCCACCUAUGUAUCAAUCACAAGCACUUUCCUUUUGGAAGGAUAUAAGAAACGAAAGAAUAGAUGAUUUAUGUGCCUAUUUGGAAAAACAAAAGAUUAGAGAAGAAAAGAAGUCACAGGGUAUUGAGUUAGAUUCAGAAUCUGAUGAAGAUACUCCAUUCGCUAUGUACAAAUAUAAAAAAAAAAUGAAAAAUGAACAAAACUUGGAAAAUUCUAACAUCAAACCAUCAGUGGAUGUAGUUAAUUCUUCUACAAGUCAAAAAAAUUCCCCAAAAGAAGUUAUGGAUAAUGCAUCCGAACAUAUUCAUUCUAAACCAUCUACUUCGAAAACUAACGAUCUCUUUGCUGAGAUGAAUAAUAAAGUACGCAAACCUAAUAAACUAGUUAGUAGAAAGAAAGUAUAUGUUAAAAGUAAAUCGACAAAAAAACAGAAAAAGAAAUCAAAAGUCAUGGAAGAUGACAUAGAAUCAACAUCUUUAAUGGAGGAUCAAAUUUUUAAUAAUUCUGCUAUAGAUAUUGAAGUGAAUAAUCUGUUCGAUAUUAUAGAUAAUAUUAAAAAUAAUUCUGAUGUGAAGGAUAAUGUACAGGCAAAUAAAGAUAUUAAUACAGACAUUAGCACAGUUGAAACACAAGUGAAAACAACUGAUACUACUAUGCUUGAUUUUGUGGACAAUACCAUAGAUGAAAAGCAUGCUAAGUUAUUAAGACGGGAGGCAAAAAUGAAAGAGAUAUCGGAAAAAUUGAAAUCUUCUGUAGAAUGUGCCAAAAUAAAUACAAAUUAAUGACAAGGAAAAAUAGAUUGAAGAUUUGCAUUGGAAAAAAGGAUUCAAUAUCCUUUUAGUGAAAUAAUGGAUUGUCCAAUGUAUAAUGGAUUCACCAAUCUAAAUCGCCAGGUAGUUCGUCAGGAUAUUCUCCUGUCAAGCAAGCAGUGCAAUGACCAACAUAACUGCUUUCUUUAUUGUCCAUAUUGUGUCUAACAGCUUGAACAAGUCCUUCUACAGAAAGACAAGAGAAUGAUAGACUGAUGAUGAUGAUGA